rnacentral:rRNA from 1 species
AGAGGGGGAUAACCCGGCGAAAGUCGGACUAAUACCGCAUGAAGCAGGGGCCCCGCAUGGGGAUAUUUGCUAAAGAUUCAUCGCUGAUAGAUAGGCAUGCGUUCCAUUAGGCAGUUGGCGGGGUAACGGCCCACCAAACCGACGAUGGAUAGGGGUUCUGAGAGGAAGGUCCCCCACAUUGGUACUGAGACACGGACCAAACUCCUACGGGAGGCAGCAGUGAGGAAUAUUGGUCAAUGGCCGAGAGGCUGAACCAGCCAAGUCGCGUGAGGGAUGAAGGUUCUAUGGAUCGUAAACCUCUUUUAUAAGGGAAUAAAGUGCGGGACGUGUCCCGUUUUGUAUGUACCUUAUGAAUAAGGAUCGGCUAACUCCGUGCCAGCAGCCGCGGUAAUACGGAGGAUCCGAGCGUUAUCCGGAUUUAUUGGGUUUAAAGGGUGCGUAGGCGGCCUUUUAAGUCAGCGGUGAAAGUCUGUGGCUCAACCAUAGAAUUGCCGUUGAAACUGGGGGGCUUGAGUAUGUUUGAGGCAGGCGGAAUGCGUGGUGUAGCGGUGAAAUGCAUAGAUAUCACGCAGAACCCCGAUUGCGAAGGCAGCCUGCCAAGCCAUUACUGACGCUGAUGCACGAAAGCGUGGGGAUCAAACAGGAUUAGAUACCCUGGUAGUCCACGCAGUAAACGAUGAUCACUAGCUGUUUGCGAUACACUGUAAGCGGCACAGCGAAAGCGUUAAGUGAUCCACCUGGGGAGUACGCCGGCAACGGUGAAACUCAAAGGAAUUGACGGGGGCCCGCACAAGCGGAGGAACAUGUGGUUUAAUUCGAUGAUACGCGAGGAACCUUACCCGGGUUUGAACGCAUUCGGACCGAGGUGGAAACACCUUUUCUAGCAAUAGCCGUUUGCGAGGUGCUGCAUGGUUGUCGUCAGCUCGUGCCGUGAGGUGUCGGCUUAAGUGCCAUAACGAGCGCAACCCUUGCCACUAGUUACUAACAGGUAAAGCUGAGGACUCUGGUGGGACUGCCAGCGUAAGCUGCGAGGAAGGCGGGGAUGACGUCAAAUCAGCACGGCCCUUACAUCCGGGGCGACACACGUGUUACAAUGGCGUGGACAAAGGGAAGCCACCUGGCGACAGGGAGCGAAUCCCCAAACCACGUCUCAGUUCGGAUCGGAGUCUGCAACCCGACUCCGUGAAGCUGGAUUCGCUAGUAAUCGCGCAUCAGCCAUGGCGCGGUGAAUACGUUCCCGGGCCUUGUACACACCGCCCGUCAAGCCAUGGGAGCCGGGGGUACCUGAAGUCCGUAACCGCGAGGAUCGGCCUAGGGUAAAACUGGUGACUGGGGCUAAGUCGUAACAAGGUAGCCGUACCGGAAGGUGCGGCUG